rnacentral:rRNA from 1 species
UCCUACGGGUGGCAGCAGUAGGGAAUCUUCCACAAUGGACGAAAGUCUGAUGGAGCAAUGCCGCGUGAGUGAAGAAGGUUUUCGGAUCGUAAAACUCUGUUGUUGAAGAAGAACAUAUGUGAGAGUAACUGUUCACGUACUGACGGUAUUCAACCAGAAAGCCACGGCUAACUACGUGCCAGCAGCCGCGGUAAUA